rnacentral:rRNA from 1 species
UACGUAGGGGGCAAGCGUUGUCCGGAUUUAUUGGGCGUAAAGAGCGUGUAGGCGGUUCGGUAGGUCCGUUGUGAAAACUCGAGGCUCAACCUCGAGACGCCGAUGGAAACCAUCGAACUAGAGUCCGGAAGAGGAGAGUGGAAUUCCUGGUGUAGCGGUGAAAUGCGCAGAUAUCAGGAAGAACACCCGUGGCGAAGGCGGCUCUCUGGGACGGUACCGACGCUGAGACGCGAAAGCGUGGGGAGCGAACAGG